AAGUCGUAACAAGGUUUCCGUAGGUGAACCUGCGGAAGGAUCAUUACCGAGUGAGGGCCCUCCGGGUCCAACCUCCCACCCGUGUUUAUCGUACCUUGUUGCUUCGGCGGGCCCGCCGCAAGGCCGCUGGGGGGCUUCUGUCCCCGGGCCCGUGCCCGCCGAAGACACCUGUGAACGCUGUCUGAAGAUUGCAGUCUGAGCGAAAAGCUAAAUUUGUUAAAACUUUCAACAACGGAUCUCUUGGUUCCG
rnacentral:misc_RNA from 1 species